rnacentral:siRNA from 1 species
AACUGCGAGCUUACAGUGACAGUG